GAUGAACGCUGGCGGCGUGCCUAAUACAUGCAAGUCGAGCGAACAGACGAGGAACUUGCUCCUCUGACGUUAGCGGCGGACGGGCGAGUAACACGUGGAUAACCUACCUAUAAGACUGGGAUAACUUCGGGAAACCGGAGCUAAUACCGGAUAAUAUAUUGAACCGCAUGGUUCAAUAGUGAAAGACGGUUUUGCUGUCACUUAUAGAUGGAUCCGCGCCGCAUUAGCUAGUUGGUAAGGUAACGGCUUACCAAGGCAACGAUGCGUAGCCGACCUGAGAGGGUGAUCGGCCACACUGGAACUGAGACACGGUCCAGACUCCUACGGGAGGCAGCAGUAGGGAAUCUUCCGCAAUGGGCGAAAGCUUGACGGAGCAACGCCGCGUGAGUGAUGAAGGUCUUCGGAUCGUAAAACUCUGUUAUUAGGGAAGAACAAAUGUGUAAGUAACUAUGCACGUCUUGACGGUACCUAAUCAGAAAGCCACGGCUAACUACGUG
rnacentral:rRNA from 1 species